rnacentral:rRNA from 1 species
UACGAAGGGGGCUAGCGUUGUUCGGAAUUACUGGGCGUAAAGCGCGCGCAGGCGGUCUUCCAAGUCGAGUGGUGAAAGCCCGGAGCUCAACUCCGGAACUGCCAUUGAAACUGUUGGACUUGAGUACGAGAGAGGUGAGUGGAAUUCCCAGUGUAGAGGUGAAAUUCGUAGAUAUUGGGAAGAACACCGGUGGCGAAGGCGGCUCACUGGCCUCGUAACUGACGCUC